rnacentral:rRNA from 1 species
GAUGAACGCUGGCGGCGUGCCUAAUACAUGCAAGUCGAGCGAACGGACGAGAAGCUUGCUUUUCUGAUGUUAGCGGCGGACGGGUGAGUAACACGUGGAUAACCUACCUAUAAGACUGGGAUAACUCCGGGAAACCGGAGCUAAUACCGGAUAAUAUUUUGAACCGCAUGGUUCAAAAGUGAAAGACGGUCUUGCUGUCACUUAUAGAUGGAUCCGCGCUGCAUUAGCUAGUUGGUAAGGUAACGGCUUACCAAGGCAACGAUGCAUAGCCGACCUGAGAGGGUGAUCGGCCACACUGGAACUGAGACACGGUCCAGACUCUUACGGGAGGCAGCAGUAGGGAAUCUUCCGCAAUGGGCGAAAGCCUGACGGAGCAACGCCGCGUGAGUGAUGAAGGUCUUCGGAUCGUAAAACUCUGUUAUUAGGGAAGAACAUAUGUGUAAGUAACUGUGCACAUCUUGACGGUACCUAAUCAGAAAGCCACGGCUAACUACGUG